CCUAGUCGCACGAGUUCAGACUCGUGGCGAAUAGCUCAGUAACACGUGGCCAAACUACCCUUCGGAACACAAUACCCUCGGGAAACUGAGGCUAAUAGUGUAUACCGCAUCACACCUGGAAUGAGUGAUGCGCCAAACGCUCCGGCGCCGAAGGAUGUGGCUGCGGCCGAUUAGGUAGACGGUGGGGUAACGGCCCACCGUGCCAAUAAUCGGUACGGGUCAUGAGAGUGAGAACCCGGAGACGGAAUCUGAGACAAGAUUCCGGGCCCUACGGGGCGCAGCAGGCGCGAAACCUUUACACUGCACGACAGUGCGAUAAGGGAAUCCCAAGUGCGUAGGCAUAGAGCCUACGCUUUUGUCCACCGUAGGGAGGUGGACGAAUAAGGGCUGGGCAAGACCGGUGCCAGCCGCCGCGGUAAUACCGGCAGCCCGAGUGAUGGCCGAUCUUAUUGGGCCUAAAGCGUCCGUAGCUGGCCGCGCAAGUCUAUCGGAAAAUCCACCCGCUCAACGGGUGGGCGUCCGGUAGAAACUGCGUGGCUUGGGACCGGAAGGCGCGACGGGUACGUCCGGGGUAGGAGUGAAAUCCUGUAAUCCUGGACG
rnacentral:rRNA from 1 species